CAAAGUCCUUUUAGAGUUUUGGGUCAGGCUCAGAUUGAACGCUGGCGGCAGGCCUAACACAUGCAAGUCGAGCGGAAACGAGUUAUCUGAACCUUCGGGGAACGAUAACGGCGUCGAGCGGCGGACGGGUGAGUAAUGCCUAGGAAAUUGCCCUGAUGUGGGGGAUAACCAUUGGAAACGAUGGCUAAUACCGCAUAAUACCUACGGGUCAAAGAGGGGGACCUUCGGGCCUCUCGCGUCAGGAUAUGCCUAGGUGGGAUUAGCUAGUUGGUGAGGUAAUGGCUCACCAAGGCGACGAUCCCUAGCUGGUCUGAGAGGAUGAUCAGCCACACUGGAACUGAGACACGGUCCAGACUCCUACGGGAGGCAGCAGUGGGGAAUAUUGCACAAUGGGCGCAAGCCUGAUGCAGCCAUGCCGCGUGUGUGAAGAAGGCCUUCGGGUUGUAAAGCACUUUCAGUCGUGAGGAAGGUAGUGUAGUUAAUAGCUGCAUUAUUUGACGUUAGCGACAGAAGAAGCACCGGCUAACUCCGUGCCAGCAGCCGCGGUAAUACGGAGGGUGCGAGCGUUAAUCGGAAUUACUGGGCGUAAAGCGCAUGCAGGUGGUUUGUUAAGUCAGAUGUGAAAGCCCGGGGCUCAACCUCGGAAUAGCAUUUGAAACUGGCAGACUAGAGUACUGUAGAGGGGGGUAGAAUUUCAGGUGUAGCGGUGAAAUGCGUAGAGAUCUGAAGGAAUACCGGUGGCGAAGGCGGCCCCCUGGACAGAUACUGACACUCAGAGCGAAAAAACGCC
rnacentral:rRNA from 1 species